rnacentral:lncRNA from 1 species
UUGUGAGAGUUUCAGCCUGGAGAGGACCACCCUGCUGGAAGGGUGUCCUGGGAAUGAAGUCCACGUAGCUCAACUCAGCUGUACUUCUCACCACGUGGCAAAGGAUGGACCAAAGGCUGGGAGCAACUGGGAGUGUCUGGACUCUGCCUUGAUUUCAGGUGCAUGAGAAGCUACUCAUGACAUCUCUCCAGGUCUGUAUUUUGCUAUCUAUAAAAUUUGUACUCUGUCAAAGCAUCAUCAAAGAUGCUCCAAGGUUAUUAUUAUUAUUAUUUUUUAAGUAUACUUAGUUCCCUUGGAGCAAGAGGUCAAAUUUCUGCCAGGAAGGUGCUAAUCAAGCCUGGCCUGUUGCACUAUUGAAACUUAAUUUUUUCUCUUAGAGAGAAUUUUCAAAUAGGAUUCAUAUUGCAAUCUUGAAAAUUGAGGCCCUAGAAUCUGAAUAUAAUUUGAUAAAUCAUCUGGUCUAGUGGGCACAUGGAAGCCCAAAGAGAUAAGAAUUUCCCAAAGUCACACAGCAAGUCAGUGGCAGAGCUGGUGAAUCCAGUCUCCAGACUCCUGGCCCAGUAUUCAUCCCAGAGUGGGACCAGAAAAUGGCCUAUCUCUUCUAUGGCAGAUCUUUGGAGCAUGCCCAUUAGAAUGGCUGAGGAGUAGGAGAGGUCCCAAGCAUCAGUGAUUUAGGUUGAGAGGAUGGCAUCCCUCAGGCGGAAAUGCACUUGAACUCUUUGCUUUUCUUUUCAGGACAGACAAGCAUUUCUCACAGCAAAAAUCGGUAAUUUUACAAAUCAUAUUCACCCAAGGUCUUUGCAAAUUGUAAUACUGCUAAAAAAUUAAAACA